CGCGGAGUCGCAGUCAGUUUGGCGUUGGUUCCCGGAGGGCGCGGGGCUUCGAGUGGCCGCCGGCGCGCGGCAGGCUGGCCCGAGGCCGGGCAGCGGGGCCUCCGCCAUGCCCGGGAUGGUGCUCUUCGGUCGGCGCUGGGCCAUCGCCAGUGACGACCUGGUCUUCCCGGGGUUCUUCGAGCUGUCCCUGCGAGUGGUGUGGUGGAUUGGCAUUUUGACUUUGUACCUCCUGCACAGAGGCAAGCUGGACUGUGCUGGCGGGGUCCUCCUCAGCAGUUACUUGAUUGUUCUUAUUGUCCUCCUAGCAGUUAUAAUAUGUACCCUGACAGCCAUCGUAUGUGUCAGCAUGAAAGGAACCAUUUGUAACCCUGGACCGCGGAAAUCCAUGGCUAAGCUGCUUUACAUCCGCCUGGCGCUCUUUCUGCCAGAGAUGGGCUGGGCUUCUCUGGGGGCCGCCUGGAUAGCAAACGACAUUCAGUGUGACAAGACGGUUGUGAAUGGCAUCAUUGCCACUGUCGUUGUCAGCUGGAUUAUCAUCGUCUCCACUGUGGUUACCAUUAUCGUCGUCUUUGACCCACUGGGGGGGAAGAUGGCUCCGUAUUCCUCCGCUGGCCCCAACCACCUGGACAGUCAUGAGUCGAGCCAGCUACUUAACGGCCUCAAGACAGCAGCUACCAGCGUGUGGGAGACCAGGAUCAAGUUACUGUGCUGCUGCGUCGGGAAAGAUGACCAUACUCGAGUUGCUUUUUCGAGUACGGCAGAGCUUUUCUCAACCUACUUUUCAGACACAGAUCUGGUCCCCAGUGACAUUGCGGCGGGCCUCACCCUUCUCCAUCAGCAACAGGACAACAUCAGGAACAGCCAGGAGCCUGAUGAGGUCAUCAGCCAUUCCCCAGGCCCCCCCCAGGAAGCUGAUUUAGAUGCAGAGUUAGAAAAUUGCCAUCAUUACAUGCAGUUUGCAGCAGCCGCCUACGGGUGGCCCCUGUACAUUUAUCGGAACCCCUUCACAGGGCUGUGCAAGAUCGGUGGGGACUGUUGUAGAACCAGGACAGCAGAAUAUGACUUGGUUGGAGGUGAUCAGCUCAGCUGCCAUUUUGGCUCCAUCCUGCAGACGACAGGGCUACAGUACAGGGACUUCAUUCACAUAAGCUUUCAUGACAAGGUCUACGAGCUUCCCUUUUUAGUGGCUCUGGACCACAGGAAGGAGUCCGUCGUGGUGGCAGUGAGAGGGACCAUGUCUCUCCAGGACAUCCUCACGGACCUGUCAGCGGAGAGCGAGGACCUGAACUUGGACUGUGGGGUGCAAGACUGUUGGGCGCACAAGGGGAUUUCUCAAGCCGCCAGAUAUGUGUACCAGCGCCUCAUCAACGAUGGGAUCUUGAGCCAAGCGUUCAGCAUUGCUCCCGAAUACAGGCUAGUGGUCGUGGGACACAGCCUGGGGGCCGGCGCCGCGGCCCUGCUGGCCAUCAUGCUCAGGAGCUCGUACCCUCAACUCCGGUGCUACGCCUUCUCCCCGCCCCGGGGGUUGCUGAGCAAAUCCCUUUAUGAACACUCCAAGAACUUCACCGUGUCGCUUGUGCUAGGCAAGGAUAUCAUCCCCAGGUUAAGUGUGACCAACUUGGAAGAUUUGAAGAAGAGAAUCUUGCGAGUGAUCGCGCACUGUAACAAGCCCAAGUACAAGAUCCUGCUGCGCGGGUGCUGGUAUGAGCUGUUCGGAGGCGACCCUGACAACCUUCCAACAGAGCUGGACGGGGGCGCCCAGGGACACCUGACGCAGCCGCUUCUGGGGGAGCAGAGCCUGCUGACGCACGGGUCCCCAACAUACAGCUUCUCCAGCGACUCCCCCCUGGAGUCCCCCGCCAAGUACCCCCAUCUCUACCCUCCCGGCAGGAUCAUCCACCUGGAGGAAGAAGGCACCUCAGGGAGGUUCUGCCGCGCCGCCGCUCGGUAUAGUGCGAGGUGGGCACACGAAUCACAGUUCAGCAAAAUACUCAUCGGCCCGAAGAUGUUAACGGACCACAUGCCCGACGUCCUGAUGAAAGCCUUGGACAGCGUGGUGUCCGACAGGGCCGCCUACGUUUUCUGUCCCCCCGGAGGUGGCUCCAACGUGGACGUGGUGAGUCUGAACCCGGCAGACUGGAUUUUCCUGGCUACACAAUCUUAGUGCGUCACUGUAAGGGUACGUACGGAUGGGUCUUCUCCUGGGUGGCGCUAAGGGUCAGCCCCGAGGUCAGGCUGGGAACUGGGGCCACUGCUCCUUGGCGCUCCAGCUCAACAUCAAGCUGCUUUAUUUUCACCUAUUGCUUUGGCUUUUGGACGUCAGCCAGCGAAUUCCGAGGGAGUUUACAAUAAAGCACUUACACGUGUCGUUCGUGUCUAUACAGUGACGUACUCUUCCACUGGAUGUUUGCGGGAAGGCCUGUUUUACUGGGUAGUUUUACAGCAAUUGCGUUUGAAAAGCUUUCUGUCUGAACAAAAAUGAAGUCUUCUUGGAUAGUUUUUUUCUUGGAGCUCGGGCUAAAGACUGAGAUUGCAGAGGCAUCUGAUUUAACCCCCACCGAAGCGCUAGGAAAUGACGGUAAAUUGGUCUCUUUAAAAAGCAUAAAUGCACCAGGAUGGGGAAAGAAGAGAAGGAACAAAUGGUUGACUGGAGUUAACAGGAUCUUCCGUGGAGGAGGAAGGACCAGAACUGCCCUGGUUUACAGCUCAGAUUCCCCAGGCACCUGGGACAGGGGGUGGCACAGGACUAGUCAGGUGAGCUGGUUUGCCAGAAAGCUGGAAGAAAUCUGGCCCUUGGUUCGCUCUGGGGUGGAGGGGGCCCCGGACAGCAGCGCACUUGAAGGCAAGGGGAUGAGGUCUCUCAGCUUCUCACCCUUGGCUGCCAGAACCUUCAUGAGGAUUCUCCAAGUUAUCUGACCUCUGGAGACCCUUCCCUCAGGGCCUCUGAGCUGUCACAGCCAUUAACGCCUUAGGUUCCGCAAACCUGCAAAGGCCCAUUUAGAAAACUCCAGUUGAGAUGCCACGGUAAUGUCCAGUUGCUGUGAGUUUGGGUUCUAGACACAGUUCCUGUACACUCGGGGCAGAAAGCUGACAGAUCUGAGAUGCCCGUGGACGCCACCUGUGGGCUGGUUUCCAGUCUGUUUUGUAAAGGCUGUCGACCUUUAAGCCCGGGGCCAAGGACCACCAGGCACGUGAGCGACAAGCGACCGGGAGAAACUUCCAGCUACCCCCACCACAGCUUGCGGACAGAGAAGACAGAUCCGGAGACUGAAAAAGUGGCAGAGAAUGAGAACACCUGAAAGUUAAAAGCAAGAAAGAUGAACUCCAAAGCAGCCAGGCGGCGGCCACCUGCAGAAGGGCAGGCAGGACAGAGGGGGAAGUACAAGGGACAGCAGCCGCACGGGGUGUGCGAGGCGGGAAGACAUCCCACACAACUGCAGUGGCCAAGACGUGAGAGCACGGGGUCCCCACAUGCUUCUUUCUCAGGAAACACCCGGAGAAUGUGUUCAGCAAGAGGAAGCAAGUUAAGAGACAAGGAGCCGGGGGCACCGGCUGGCUCGGUAGGUAGAGCAGUGCCUCCCGAUCUUGGGGUCGGAGUCUGAGCCCCACGUUGCAGGUAGAGAUUACAAAAAAAUAAACUCAACAUCGACACGUAAGAAAAGUGGUGGCCAGAGGAUGAGACUAGGAAAAUGCAAAUUGCUGAAACUCAGCAAACGUCCUGAGGAAUUUCGGUAUCGGCUGGAAGUCUGCAGUUAAAUCGUGAAGCACACAGAAGAGCAAAUAGUCUUAAUUAUCCUCAAAGAAACAAGUAGUUGCGCAGCACAGUCCUCCUCAGUGGCUCAGCCAGGCGCAUCUGCACAGUAACACGGAUGCUAAAUAGCGAACACCAACCAGGAUCGGGAAGGCAAGCCGCCAGCUUCAGCCCAGAGCUCUGGCCCCAGUUGCUCGGGCACCCGUGUGGACGUCCCACCCGCAUCCGAAGGUCCCAAACCCAGCCUGACUCCCCACCGGUCCCUGGUGACUCUUCAGCUUCUCCCCUGGAGGGGCCCCUCCCCGUCCCCCAGCAUGAAAACCUGCACUGGAAAUGUGUUUCCAAGCGCCUAGGAUUUUCAGGUGAGGCAAACGAACACACACCCCAGGAGGUUGUUCGAGCUCUCAAGAAUUCAAGUAUUACAGUCAUAUGAUUCAAGGAUUUAUUAAGUCACACAUGCAAAACAUAACUGCUAAUUGCAUUAGCAAAAGAUCAAUGUAAAAACACUCCACAAGUCUGCAACGGUCAAUUUAAAAAACUUUGUUCUAGUGGUUGAAAGGUCCAACCUUGUAUUCUUGCCAGCGGGUAAGUUGUACAGAACUUGGUUAGCACGAGCACGGGCUUACAGAACCUCACAGACCCAAAGGAACGUGGUUGAUUAGGCAGAGCGACAGGAAGCGUGUGUCCGGGGGAAGGCGGCGAGGAGGAGGGUCAGCAUUAGUCAAGGUACAGUACUGGUGAUCUGGCAAGACAGUGAUGUUACGAAAGUUCAUAGUUUAGGAAUAUCUAAAAUAUUUCAAAAACUGUAAAGCUGCAACACAUGAUUUUUACACCUAGUUACUAGAAAACUAAGGAAAGCGCUUAUUAGCUCUGAAUAAAGUAACAAGGGAACAGGAAUGCACUUUCACUAAUCUACAAAAAAAAAAAAAGUCUAAUGCAUUAUCAGAAAGAUUUUAUAAUACAAGGAGGCAUAUUGCUCAUUAAGAAGGGGUUCUAUAAGAAAAGCACUAAGUCAGCAACUAUGGGAACGACCAGUUCAAAGAUGAAUUAAAUGCCCGAUCUCAGGAGGGAUGGAGUCUAAGAAAAAAAGCUUAAAACACUUAGUGAUGGUACCGACCUUUCAUCAUUUACUGCAUCUGACAGAAAUUAACCUUUUAAGAUUUUACCCGUGACACUUUCAGUUUAGUAAUGACGUGCACAGUGUAGUGUUUUGUCAGAAUACUGUCUUUGUCCUCUGAUCGCGUCCCGUGGCCCGCACACCCGCCCCAGGUGCCCACGGCCACAGCGGACCCUUUCAUCACAGGGGCGGGAGCCAGAGGGCGGUUCCAAAUCUCAGCAAAAGCGAAUACACUACUUUAAAAAAAAAAAAAAAAAUCUCACUACAAAAUCAAAAAGAUUGAUCAGAGAGCUGAGUCAUUAC